UAGGAAUUAGUCACUCAGAUC
rnacentral:miRNA from 1 species